GACGAACGCUGGCGGCGUGCUUAACACAUGCAAGUCGAACGGAGGAUUUAUUUCGGUAAAUCCUUAGUGGCGAACGGGUGAGUAACGCGUGGGCAAUCUGCCCUUCAGAUGGGGACAACAUCCCGAAAGGGGUGCUAAUACCGAAUACGAUCACGCUGCCGCAUGGCGGAGUGAUGAAAGAUGGCCUCUAUUUAUAAGCUAUCACUGAAGGAUGAGCCUUGGUCUGAUUAGCUAGUUGGUGGGGUAACGUCCUACCAAGGCGAUGAUCAGUAGCCGGUCGGAGAGGAUGAACGGCCACAUUGGGACUGAGACACGGCCCAAACACCUACGGGAGGCAGCAGUGGGGAAGAUUCCGCAAUGGACGAGAGUCUGACGGAGCAACGGCGCGUGAGUGAUGAAGGUUUUCGGACUGUAAAACUCUGUUGGUUAGGACGAAAGUGCCUGUUGCGAACAGUUGAAGGUAUUGACGGUACUGAACGAGGAAGCCACGGCUAACUACGUGCCAGCCGCCGCCGUAA
rnacentral:rRNA from 1 species